AGCGAACGCUGGCGGCAGGCUUAACACAUGCAAGUCGAACGGGCGUAGCAAUACGUCAGUGGCAGACGGGUGAGUAACGCGUGGGAACGUACCUUUUGGUUCGGAACAACCCAGGGAAACUUGGGCUAAUACCGGGAUAAGCCCUUACGGGGAAAGAUUUAUCGCCGAAAGAUCGGCCCGCGUCUGAUUAGCUAGUUGGUGAGGUAACGGCUCACCAAGGCAACGAUCAGUAGCUGGUCUGAGAGGAUGAUCAGCCACAUUGGGACUGAGACACGGCCCAAACUCCUACGGGAGCAGCAGUGGUGAAUAUUGGACAAGUGGGCNCUAGCCUGAUCCAGCCAUGCCGCGUGAGUGAUGAAGGCCCUAGGGUUGU
rnacentral:rRNA from 1 species